ACGAAGGGGGCUAGCGUUGUUCGGAAUUACUGGGCGUAAAGCGCGCGUAGGCGGCUUUGCAAGCCAGAGGUGAAAUGCCUGAGCUCAACUUAGGAAUUGCCUUUGGGACUGCGAGGCUUCGAGGACUGGAGAGGUGAGUGGAAUUCCCAGUGUAGAGGUGAAAUUCGUAGAUAUUGGGAAGAACACCAGUGGCGAAGGCGGCUCACUGGCCAGUUUCUGACGCUAAAGUGCGAAAGCGUGGGGAUCAAACAGGAUUAGAUACCCUGGUAGUCCACGCUGUAAACGAUGAGUGCUAGGCGUCGGCACGCUUGCGUGUCGGUGCCGCAGCUAACGCGUGAAGCACUCCGCCUGGGGAGUACGGUCGCAAGAUUA
rnacentral:rRNA from 1 species